ensembl:lncRNA
CUUAUAUCCAAACUAAAUCCACCCUCCCUGAGCUUGAAACCAUUUCCCUUUGUUCUAUUGCCACAGAUCCUGCUAAAGAGUCUUUGCCCUUCUUUCCCGUAGCUCCCCUUUAGAUACUGAAAGGCUGUUAUCAGGUCACCUCUCAGCCUUCUCUUCUCCAGGCUGCACAGCCCCAGCUCUCUCAGCCUGUACGCGUAGGAGAGGUGUUCCAUUCCCUGAAUCAUUUUUGUGCCCCUUCUCUGGAUGCACUCCUAGAAGUCUAUGCCUGUCAAGUCUCCUGUACUGAGGACUCCACAGCUGCAUGCAGUACUCCAGUUCAAAGAUUAAAGAAGGAACAGAGAUUGUUUUCCUGGAUCAUGAAGGAUGACCAUUGCAUGGGCUCUGCAGGAGGUG